rnacentral:rRNA from 1 species
CAUUUGACGUUAGCUGCAGAAGAAGCACCGGCUAACUCCGUGCCAGCAGCCGCGGUAAUACGGAGGGUGCGAGCGUUAAUCGGAAUUACUGGGCGUAAAGCGCAUGCAGGUGGUUUGUUAAGUCAGAUGUGAAAGCCCCGGGGCUCAACCUCGGAAUUGCAUUUGAAAACUGGCAAACUAGAGUACUGUAGAGGGGGUAGGAAUUUCAGGUGUAGCGGUGAAAUAGCGUAGAGAUCUGAAGGAAUACCGGUGGCGAAGGACGGCCCCCUCGGACAGAUACUGACACUCAGAUGCGAAAGACGUGGGGAGGCAAACAGGAUUAGAUACCCUGGUAG